UAUCCUACGGGGGGCAGCAGUGAGGAAUAUUGGUCAAUGGACGAGAGUCUGAACCAACCAAGUAGCGUGAAGGAUGACUGCCCUAUGGGUUGUAAACUUCUUUUGUCGGGGAACAAAGGCGGAGACGCGUCUCCGGAUGAGUGUACCCGAAGAAAAAGCAUCGGCUAACUCCGUGCCAGCAGCCGCGGUAAUACGGAGGAUGCGAGCGUUAUCCGGAUUUAUUGGGUUUAAAGGGUGCGCAGGCGGGAGAUCAAGUCAGCGGUAAAAUGUCGGGGCUCAACCCCGGCCGGCCGUUGAAACUGGUU
rnacentral:rRNA from 1 species